rnacentral:rRNA from 1 species
CUGGUGUUCCUUCCUAUAUCUACGCAUUUCACCGCUACACAGGAAAUUCCACCACCCUCUACCGUACUCUAGCUCAGUAGUUUUGGAUGCAGUUCCCAGGUUGAGCCCGGGGAUUUCACAUCCAACUUGCUGAACCACCUACGCGCGCUUUACGCCCAGUAAUUCCGAUUAACGCUUGCACCCUUCGUAUUACCGCGGCUGCUGGCACGAAGUUAGCCGGUGCUUAUUCUGUUGGUAACGUCAAAACAGCAAGGUAUUAACUUACUGCCCUUCCUCCCAACUUAAAGUGCUUUACAAUCCGAAGACCUUCUUCACACACGCGGCAUGGCUGGAUCAGGCUUUCGCCCAUUGUCCAAUAUUCCCCACUGCUGCCUCCCGUAGGAGUCUGGACCGUGUCUCAGUUCCAGUGUGACUGAUCAUCCUCUCAGACCAGUUACGGAUCGUCGCCUUGGUAGGCCUUUACCCCACCAACUAGCUAAUCCGACCUAGGCUCAUCUGAUAGCGUGAGGUCCGAAGAUCCCCCACUUUCUCCCUCAGGACGUAUGCGGUAUUAGCGCCCGUUUCCGGACGUUAUCCCCCACUACCAGGCAGAUUCCUAGGCAUUACUCACCCGUCCGCCGCUGAAUCCAGGAGCAAGCUCCCUUCAUCCGCUCGACUUGCAUGUGUUAGGCCUGCCGCCAGCGUUCAAUCUGAGCCAGGAUCAAACCCUC